AUGUGCCCAGUGAACACUUCUCGCACACCAACAACCCAGGACACGGACUUUGUGCCCACUUUACAGCACAGGGCAAGGAGCCAAGGUCCAACCCGUGCUGUGCUGAGGUCACAGAGUUUGUCCAAGAUACAGGCACUGGAAUCUCACCCUCCAUUUGUUUGUUCAACAGGUUUUUAUCCGGCGCCCACUGGAUGCAGAGAUGGAGCUGAAGCCGCCCUGCGAAGGAGAGAGGCAAUAAAAGCGACAGCAGGGAGCGGGAGCCAUGGGAGCUGUGCACGUGCAGGACGGACCUCUGAGGGGACGUGGAGCUGGCCACAAGCUCAGCAGGGUCUUUGCAAAGAUGAGGUGGGGCCUGGAUUUGCUCUGCAUGGUCUCAAGAACCAGGGUGAGUGGUGGAAGCCCAGGAGGACCAAUUUCUUUUCAGUAUAGGGGAACGUUUCCCAGGGCAGAGGCAUGCAGGGGUGGAAUGAACCCCCUGAGGGAGAAAUGAGCUCUCUGUCCCUGGGGGCAUGUAAGCUGGAUACUGGAGUGGGAUGAGGGGUUAGCCUAGACAGGAAGGCUGCAGAAUCCCUUCUGUUGCAGAGAAUCUCUGGGCCUGUAAUUGAGAAUUGUCUAAUGCAGGCAGAGAAAGUAUUUAUCAGAUAAUAUCAACACAAUAUUAACACAAGUAUGCAUAAAGAUGACCAUCGCAGUUUUUUUAAUAACACGAAAAUCCCUGUCUCAUAAAUUCCAAUGAUAGAAAGUUAUCCUGAUGCAAUCAAUAUGUGUGUUUUCAGACACUUGGCUCUCACAAUGCCCACUGCACUCUUGUUUGUAACAGGAAAACUGGAAACAACCCGAAAGCUCAUUUAUAUUUGAUUUUCUGUCUCCCAUGUAGACAGUGAGCUCCAAGAGGGUGGGCCUUGUCUGUCUCGUGUACAGCUCCAUCAGUCAGAUCUCGUGGGUGUGAGACAUACCAGGCAACCUUUUUUUUUUUUAAGGUAUAGCCCCAUUGAGAGAGAGAAAUGCAAGAAAUGCAUCAAAGUGUUAACAGAGACUGUUUCUGGUGACAGAAGUAAAGAUCAUUGUUUUCUUCUUUAUGUCGUACCAUAUUUUCCAUACUGUCUACAAGAAACACGUAUUAUGUUUGUAAUGUGAAAAAAAUUUUAAGGAAAAAUAGAAUGACGUCAGGGUAAAAAAAAAAAAAAAGGCUUCAUUUGCUGAGCUCUGAGAAUGGAUUUUAAAGCCAAACUGAAUCGUGUAAGACUUUAUCUGCAUGUCCCUAGUGACACCCUCUCGCCAUCUGGCUGGGGUCACACAAGAACAAUCCAACUCUUUUGGGUGGGGAAGAAAAUAAUUUCCAGUUUCGAAGUGGCCACCCCUAAAACCAUCCCCUACUCCCAAAGUGGCUUUUUUAUAGGCUCCUUUGGGAGCAGACGUGACAUUUAUC
rnacentral:lncRNA from 1 species